CCUGAUGGAGCACACCGCGUGAGUGAAGAAGGGUUUCGGCUCGUAAAGCUCUGUUGUUGGAGAAGAACGUGCGUGAGAGUAACUGUUCACGCAGUGACGGUAUCCAACCAGAAAGUCACGGCUAACUACGUGCCAGCAGCCGCGGUAAUACGUAGGUGGCAAGCGUUAUCCGGAUUUAUUGGGCGUAAAGCGAGCGCAGGCGGUUGCUUAGGUCUGAUGUGAAAGCCUUCGGCUUAACCGAAGAAGUGCAUCGGAAACCGGGCGACUUGAGUGCAGAAGAGGACAGUGGAACUCCAUGUGUAGCGGUGGAAUGCGUAGAUAUAUGGAAGAACACCAGUGGCGAAGGCGGCUGUCUGGUCUGCAACUGACGCUGAGGCUCGAAAGCAUGGGUAGCGAACAGGAUUAGAUACCCUGGUAGUCCAUGCCGUAAACGAUGAGUGCUAGGUGUUGGAGGGUUUCCGCCCUUCAGUGCCGGAGCUAACGCAUUAAGCACUCCGCCUGGGGAGUACGACCGCAAGGUUGAAACUCAAAGGAAUUGACGGGGGCCCGCACAAGCGGUGGAGCAUGUGGUUUAAUUCGAAGCUACGCGAAGAACCUUACCAGGUCUUGACAUCUUGCGCUAACCUUAGAGAUAAGGCGUUCCCUUCGGGGACGCAAUGACAGGUGGUGCAUGGUCGUCGUCAGCUCGUGUCGUGAGAUGUUGGGUUAAGUCCCGCAACGAGCGCACCCUUGUUA
rnacentral:rRNA from 2 species